rnacentral:rRNA from 1 species
GACAGGCCCUAACACAUGCAAGUCGAGCGGUAACACAAGGGAGCUUGCUCCUGAGGUGACGAGCGGCGGACGGGUGAGUAAUGCCUAGGGAUCUGCCCAGUCGAGGGGGAUAACAGUUGGAAACGACUGCUAAUACCGCAUACGCCCUACGGGGGAAAGGAGGGGACCUUCGGGCCUUCCGCGAUUGGAUGAACCUAGGUGGGAUUAGCUAGUUGGUGAGGUAAUGGCUCACCAAGGCGACGAUCCCUAGCUGUUCUGAGAGGAUGAUCAGCCACACUGGGACUGAGACACGGCCCAGACUCCUACGGGAGGCAGCAGUGGGGAAUAUUGCACAAUGGGGGAAACCCUGAUGCAGCCAUGCCGCGUGUGUGAAGAAGGCCUUCGGGUUGUAAAGCACUUUCAGUAGGGAGGAAAGGUG